CAGGGCCUCCCCACCCUCAACAGGGAACAAUUUCUUCCUAAAUCAUUGUGUUUGGCCUCAGAGGUCCCUUUCCUGCCAAGAAGACCCCUGCUGCCUGUUCAUUCAACUAUUCAAAGUGUGCUCCUGCAGGCGACAUGCUGUUAAAAUAACCCCAUCAAUAACCCCGUGGUUAAUUUUUACAAAGGACAAACACUUCUGAAGAAAGAAAAACGGCUU